rnacentral:lncRNA from 1 species
CGGGAUGCCCCUUGAUGUACUUGCCUCAUACUAGGCCUAAAGACAAUUGCGUGGCAAAAAUCAAGAAAUGUGGAUCUGCAGGGGCAUGAGAGCAUUGAGAGAACAAGAGAACUAAGUACACAGAUUAAGGUAUAUAUUUCAUACGUAGGUUAUAAAAAAACAGCGUUUUUUACGGCCUAAUAUAUUUGACCUAGGUCAUAUGAUUUUAGUUGGCAAGUUUUGAACUUAGAUCCUCUGUCCAUCUGUUACCAGACCAGGAGCCAUGACAGCAACUAAUCCUUACUCAGAAGUGUGGCUGCCGGGGAGUUUUCGCACAGCAGCUAGCUAGUUUUAGUAGUUAAUUUAGAGUUUAUUUAUGUUUCAGUGGGAAAGAGAGCCUAGCAUGCAAACUAAGCUAUAAGAGCUGGUACUUGUGCAUCUGCACGCUUGUUGAAUGUGUAACCUUGUUGUCCUCGCUUAAUAAAACUGCUGGACAUUGUACCAAGCACUUUUGUACCUUUUAUUUUAGGGUUUUUAUCACAAAUGAUCCCUGAAAUUGACUCAGCCCAUCAAGUGGUUCCUGAAAUUGAAAAUCAAUCAAUGUAGUCCUUGAAAUUGGGUGUCAUAAAUCAAUGUGGUCAUUCCGUCACUAUUUCGUCAAAAACUUUGUUAAGUGCUGAUGUGGCACUUAAAUGGAUCCCAAAAAUUUAAUAAAAUAUUAUUUUAUGAAUAAAAAAUAUUUAAAUAAUAAAAAAUAUUUUUUUUAUAAUAAAAAACUUCAAAAAAAAAAAAAAAAAUAAUGCUUCCUCUGCAACAACCAUGGCGUCUCCUCCUCCUCCUCCCCCCUGGUUCUUUCAAGCCCAACAAGUCACUCACUUUCAAGUUCAGCCUUCUCGAUGGGGCUGUGUUUGGCUACAAUUACAUUUGCAACGGUGACAAUGAGUGAUGAGUCAUGGUUGAUGAUUCGGUCGAGUUGAUUCGAAGCGGGUUAUGGGCUGCAAUGCCCGGGGUGUGGCUGCAGACCGAGAUGGAUGAGGAGGGCAAGAUAAAAUUCCAGUUGACAACAAACGUAAUCGCAGCCAAACAACCCCAUCUGGAAGUGCUGAACUUGAAAGUGAGUGACUUGUUGGGCUUGAAAGAAGCGGGGAGGAGGAGGAGACACCAUGGUUGUUGCAGAAGAAGCAUCUUCUUCUUUUUUUUCAAGUUUUUUAUUAUAAAAAAUAAUUAUUAUUUAAAUAUUUGAUUUUUGACACCCAAUUUCAGGGACUACAUUGACCGAUUUUCAAUUUCAAGGACUAUCUUGAUGAUCUGAGUCAAUUUCAAAGACCAUUGGUGAUAAAAAAAAACCUUUUUUUUUAUAUAAAUUUGGACAACGGAUUUCUAAGUAGCAAGGAAUUUAGGAUAAGUUAACUAGAAUUGCACUGCUCAUAAGCACUAUAAAGUCACCAAACAAACAAAAAUAUUAUCCUUACUAUCUAGUUAUACCAUGAUUUGUAUCAUUUCUUUAAUAGAGAUGGGACCCACGCGCGUUGGCAGACCCUAUCUCUUUAGAGAGAUUUGAAAAUGGCACAUUUUAAGUAAUCAGUUACAAAUCUCUAGCCAUGCUUUAGAAUGUGUAGUUUGUUGUAAAUAGUGGAUUGUCCACAUGUGUAUAGUAAUGUGUAUAGUAAAGUAUCAUAUGUGUAUAAUAAUGUGUAUAGUAAAGUAUCACAUGUGAAUAGUAAGUUUUGUAAGUUUUCGUUGAGGUGGCUCUAUGUUUUGUAAGUUUUCAUUGAGGUGGCUCUAUAAAUAGAGCACUUCGGUUGUUCAAUGUAAGAGAACAUCAAGAAGAGAAAAGGAAGAAAUAUAAUACUCCUAGUAUCCCUCAUUUUCUAAUAUCUGCAAUACUUUUGUCAGUGUGAUAUUUUGCACCACUUCAUCCUCGCUCUUAGCAAAGGUUAUUUAUCUACUUUUGCCUAUUUAUAAAACGUUAUCAGCAUGACUCUCUAAUCAUUUCUCAUUUCCCUUCACCGAAAGAAAAAAAAAAAUGUUUCCUCUAAGGUUUUUACUGUUCUUCUUCUUCCUCUACCUCAAUUGCUGGAUAUACCCACGCGAAGAACCGUUUGCACCAUGUUUACUUCUAGUUCUUAACCUAACAGUUACUUAUAUCUUUGAUUUCUUGUUUGGUGUAACUCUUGACUAUUAACUCAGUGUUUAUUUAUGCAAUCCAAGAUGGUGCGAUAUCAUCGCCUAUCUUGGACUGCAGAUCUAAUUUUACUGCAAAUUUUAUGUGGAGCAAUAUAAUCGCCCACCCUAUCCUGCAUAUUUAAAUUUAUCUACUAUUUAAUUUUAUCGCAAUUUUAGGUGGUGUGGAAUAAUCACCCACUCUGCUCUGCAUAUUUAAUUUUAUUGCAAUUUCAGCUGGUGCAGUAUAAUCGUCCACCCUGCUUUGCAUAUUUAAAUUUUCUUGCAAUUUUAGGUGGUGCGGUAUAAUCGUCCACCUUUCUCUACAUAUUAAAAAUUUUCCUGCUGUUUAAAGUAGUGCGGAAUAAUCGCCCAUCCUAUACUUGUUUCGAUGAGAAUGGUGCGGUACAAUCGCCCUUCUCAUUAAUCAUGUAAAUCUCGAGCCUGAAGUUUCAAGUACUUAUCAUUUUGGCCUGAAGAUAAAAAAUUUGUAAGAACUAGAAGCUCUAACAAUAUAUUCCUUCAGAACACAUAUUAUUGCAAGUUCUUACACACCUCAUUUUUCUUUCAGAAAAGAAAAUGGCAAACUUGGCAAAGCUUGAUUUUGCUGCCCUGGACAUUACUGGAAAGAAUUACCUUACAUGGGUACUGGAUACCAAGAUCCAUCUGGAAGCAGCGAAUCUUGAAUAUACCAUCAGAGAAGAGAGUAGCUCACACUCUCAAGAUCGGGCGAAGGCCAUAAUUUUUAUUCGUCGCUAUCUUGAUGAGGCACUAAAGAGCGAGUACUUAACGGUUGAAGAUCCGUUACCCCUCUGGAAGGCCUUGAGAAAUAGAUACAAUCACCAGACAAUGGUGAUUCUUCCAAGAGCUCGCUAUGACUAGACUCACCUAAGGAUCCAGGAUUUCAAGUCAGUGGCUGAGUACAAUUUGACAUUGUUUAGAAUUACCUCUUAGAUGAAGCUCUGUGGGGAUACUAUUAUUGAGGAGAUGUUAUUGGAAAAGACUUUCAACACAUUCCAUGCCUCUAACAUGCUCCUGCAACAUCAGUAUAGAGCGCGAGGCUUCACUGAAUACAACCAGCUGAUAUAUGUGUUCCUGGUAGCUGAACAGAACAAUGAGCUCAUGAUGAAAAACCAUAAUUCCUGACCUACUGGAUCAGUACUGUUCCCAGAAAUGAAUGUUGCUUCCCUUGAAAGGAAUACCAUAUCCUCCUGUGGUAAUAAUUACAAACGAGGAUGUGGCCACACGCGAGGCCGGUGGAACGGGAAAGGCAAGAACCAUGGUAUCUAGUUUCACAACCAGGUUCCAAGGCAUAAUCUAAGCCCGAGCUUUAAAAAUGCAAAUCGCCAGAAAGGAAAAGCUCAUAUGAACACUCCUAGAAAUCCUGAAGGAGUUUGCCAUAGGUGUGGUGGCAACGGACAUUAGGCGUGUACUUGUCGCACCCCAAAGCAUCUGGUGGAACUGUAUCAAGCCUCCUUCAAGGAGAAGGGUGUCGAGAUCAAUUUCUUCAACUAGGCUCAACCAAUAAAAGUAGUAUUCCAGUAUGAAUAAACUGCUUUUUCUUUACUCAGAGAUCAUGGAUAAAUAUUAUGGUUAUUCUCAAAACAAGAUCAAUGGAUGAGACUUUUGUCUUGUAGACAGCGCAACCACGCAUUCAAUAUUUCGAGAUCGAAAGUAUUUCUCGAAUUUGGUACUGCAAAAGUAAAGGUAACAACAAUAUCAGGGCAAUCAGAUGUAAUUGAAGGCUCAGGAAAAGCCCAGAUUAUGUUACCAAAAGGAACAAUAUUAUCCAUAAAGAAUGCAUUAUAUACUACUCGAUCCAUUCGAAAUUUGUUGAGUUUUAAAGACAUACGUCUAAAUGGAUACCACAUUGAAACGAAAAGUGUAGAAAAUGUGGAAUAUUUAUGCAUUACCUCAAAUGAUACCCAGAAGCAUAUAUUGGAGAAGUUGCAUGGUUUAUUGAGUGGAUUGUAUUAUACAUCGAUAAAGACAGUUGAGGCAUAUACUGUCAUGAACCAGAAGUUCAUUGAUUCAAAGGUUUACAUGCUUUGGCAUGACCGACUAGGUCCUCCAGGAUCUACCAUGAUGCGUAGAAUCAUUACCAACUCUAAUGGACAUCUAUUAUUGAGCAGACACAUUGAUGUCUCAAAUGAUAACCCUUGCAAGGCUUGUUCCCAAGGGAAGUUGGUAAUUAGCCCAUCACAACUAAAGGUUGAUGAUGAAUCCCCAUCAUUUUUGUAUAGAAUUCAAGGGGAUAUUUGUGGACCUAUUCAACCACCUUGUGGACCAUUUCGAUAUUUUAUGGUUUUGGUUGAUGCAUCUAACCGAUGGUCACAUGUUUGCCUAUUGUCUACUCGAAAUGUAGCUUUUGCGAGACUUCUUACUUAGAUGAUUAAGUUGCGAGCACAGUUCCUAGAUCAUCCCAUUAAGUCCAUUCGACUUGAUAAUGCUGGUGAAUUUACGUCUCAAACCUUUGAUGAUUACUACAUGGCACUGGGCAUUGAUGUUGAACAUCUUGUUCCUCAUGUCCAUACCCAAAAUGGUUUAGCAGAGGCAUUUAUCAAGCGGCUUCAAUUAAUAGCCCGUACUUUGCUCAUGCAAACGAAAUUGCUAGUCUCUACAUGGGGACAUGCCAUCUUACAUGCAGCAUCAUUGGUUCAACUGAGACCCAUAGCCAACCACCAAUACUCAUCAAUACAACUUGUGUUUGGACAUCAGCCAAAUAUUUCACAUUUACGAGUUUUUGGUUGUGCUAUUUAUGUGCCUAUUGCACCGCCACAACGAACUAAAAUGGAACCUCAGCGCAGACUAGAAAUUUAUGUGGGUUUUGAUUCACCAUCUAUCAUUAGAUAUUUGGAACCCUUGACAAGUGAUAUAUUUAUAGCUCGUUUUGCAGAUUGUCAUUUUGAUGAGACAGUCUUCCCGUUGUUAGGGGGAGCAAAGACCAUUCCAGAAGAACGGCAAGAGCUAACAUGGAUUGUUCCCACCUUAUCUCAUUUUGAUCCACCAAGCACUCAAUGUGAAAAUGAAGUGAAAAGGAUCGUUGAUCUUCAAGGUAUUGCUAAUAAAAUGCCAGAUGCAUUUAAUGAUGCUUCGAAAGUGACACAGUCACAUAUACCAGCUGCAAACGCACUUGUAAGAAUUGAUGUCCCUGUUGGACAAAAUAAAGUGGUAGCGAAUGAUUCUUUUAGUGCACGCUUGAAGCGUGGUAGACCCCUAGGUUCAAAAGAUUCAGCACCUCAAAAGAGAAAGAUGAGGGCACAAUUGAACCCAAAUGAAAUCAUUCAGGAAAAGAAAAUGAAUGAUAAAUCCACAAUUCAUGAUUCUAUACUUCCAGAAAAAGAAAAUGUCCUUAAAGAGACACAUGUCCCUGAAGAGACAGAAGUACAUGAAAGCAAAGAAAUAUCCAUAAAUUAUGCAUGUACUAAUGAAUUGUGGGAUCGAAAUGAAAUAAUUAUUGACGACAUGUUUGCAUUUGCCACUGAAAUUAUAUUAAGUGAUGAUAUUGAGCCCCGAUCUAUUGAAGAAUGCAAACAAGGACAAGAUUGACCUAAGUGGAAAGAUACAAUCCAAGCAGAAUUAAAUUCCUUGGAAAGGCGAAAUUAGACUAGUAGUCCAAACCCCACCUGGUGUAAACCCCGUGGGUUACAAAUGGGUAUUCACAAGGAAACGCAACGAGAAAAACGAGAUUGCAAGAUAUAAAGCAAGAUUCGUUGCACAAGGUUUUUCACAAAGACCUGGAAUUGAUUAUAAAGAGACAUACUCUCCUGUAAUGGACGCAAUUACAUUCCGUUACUUAAUAAGUUUGGUGAUUUCAGAAAAACUUGACAUGCGACUUGUGGAUGUCAUCACCGCGUAUCUAUAUGGAAAAUUAGAUACUGACAUAUAUAUGAAAGUCCUAGAAAGACUUAAGUUGCCUGAAGCAACUAACAAACCACGAGGUAUGUUCUGAAUCAAAUUAAGGCGAUCACUGUAUAGGCUAAAACAAUCUGGGCGAAUAUGGUAUAAUCGUCUCAGUGAGUAUUUAAUUAAAGAAUGAUAUGCCAACAAUGUUAUCUGCCCUUGUGUGUUCAUUAAGAAAUCAAACACUAGAUUUGCUAUAGUGGCAAUAUACGUCGAUGAUAUAGACCUAGUUGGAACCCCUGAAGAGCUCAAUAAAACUGCUGAAUAUCUGAAAGCGAAUUUGAAAAGAAAAACCUUGGGAAAACAAAAUAUUGUCUCAGCCUGCAGAUCGAGCAUUGUGCUAAUAGAAUUUUGGUCCAUCAAUCAGCUUACAUUGAAAAGAUACUGAAGCAAUUUGGCAUGGACAAGGCUUAUCCAAUUAGCACCCUAAUGGUCGUUCAUUCUUUGGACAUUAAGAAAGAUCCAUUUCAUCUAAAAGAAGAUGAUGAACUGGUCCUUGGUCCAUAAGUACCAUAUUUGAGCGCAAUAAGUGCUUUAUUGUAUUUAGCACAAUGUACUAGACCAGAUAUAGCUUUUUCAGUUAACUUGUUAGCAAAGUACAGCUCUGCUCCAACAAUUCAUCAUUGGAAAGGAGUCAAAGAUCUUCUACGAUAUCUUCGUGGGACAACAAAUAUGAGUCUCUUCUACUCAGACAAGCCCACAAAUGAUCAUAUCCUUGUUGGAUACGCAGAUGCUAGUUUUCUCUAUGAUCCGCAUAAAGCCUGCUCAUAAAAUGGAUAUGUGUUCACUUAUGGAGAUACUGCAAUUUCAUGGCAAUUAACGAAGUAAACGCUAGUUGCUACAUCUUCCAAUCACUCGGAAAUAAUUGCUUUACAUAAAGCAAGUCGUGAAUGUUCUUGGUUAAGAUCAAUGAUCCAUCACAUCGGAAAUUCAUGUGGUCUACCUUCAAAGACAGACACUCCAAUUGUCAUCCAUGAAGAUAAUGCAGCCUGUGUCACCCAGAUGAAGGAAUGAUUCAUCAAAGGUGAUAAGACUAAACACAUAUCUCUAAGAUUUUUCAGUGCACACGAGCUUCAGAAGGGUAAAGUUAUUGAAGUCAGACAAAUUCGUUCUAAUGAAAAUUUAACAGACUUAUUCACCAAAUCUCUACCAAAGUGCACAUUUCAAAAGUUGGUGCAGGGAAUCGGAUUACGUCAGCUUACAAAUUUGAAGAAUGCGGAAUCAGGGGGAGAUACAAUUCAAGGGGAGCAUCCAUGAUACAUGCAUGUUGUACUCUUUUUCCUUUGAUUAGGAUUUUUCCCACUGGGUUUUUCCUAUCAAGGUUUUAAUGAAGCAACAUAAGCAUGCUCAACACCAUCCAGGUAAAGUUGUACUCUUUUUCCUUCGCUAUGGUUUUUUUUUUUCCCACUAGGUUUUUCUAAGCAAGGUUUUAACGAGGCAGCUGAUACUGAUAUAUGGGCAUCCAAGGGGGAGUGUUGUAAAUAGUGGAUUGCUCACAUGUGUGUAGUAAUGUGUAUAGUAAAGUAUCACAUAUGUAUAGUAAAGUAUCACAUGUGAAUAGUAAGUUUUGUAAGUUUUCAUUGAGGUGACUCUAUAAAUAGAGCACUUCGGUUGUUCAAUGUAAGAGAACAUCAAGAAGAGAAAAGGAAGAAAUAUAAUAUUCUCAGUAUCCCUCAUUUUCUAAUAUCUGCAAUACUUUUGUCAGUGUGAUAUUUUGUACCACUUCGUCCUCACUCUUAGCAAAGGUUAUUUCUCUACUUUUGCCUAUUUAUAACAUAGUUUCAAUUUUAUGUAUCUAAUGUUUUACAAUUCAUGUCUUACUAAUGUAGCUUAAAUCCCUAGGUAAUGGAUAAUAUCUAGUGCAACCAUAUUAACCAUUAGAGCUGGUUUGAUAGGAUGUUGACUAGGAUGAUGAUUCAGCACAAUUACUUAUUUUGUAACUAAUAAUUGGAUAUGAGAAGUUGGUUAGUUGGUUUCAAUUAGAGAUAAGGUUGUUAGCAGGUUUCUUAGUGGCUAAGAUAGUUAGCUGCUAUAUAAGAAAAGUCGUAAGGGAAAGUUGUUGUUGUAAAAGUUGAAUAUUGUAAUAAAUACAUAGAGUUACUGUUACAUUGAGAAAGAAGUAAAGUUGGGGUUCUAUAUUUGGUAUCAACUAGUGCAUUCCAUCUUGCUUAAUCCUUUCUCGUGUAUGACUCGCCUUGCUUCCAAAAAAACCAUGGAGCCUCGUGUGUCCAAUCUCAAAUCCUUGUUUGCUUAUUUCCAGCAAGAAUUCAAAGAAUCUAGAAAUGAGAGUUCAAAAAAUCAAAAAGAAAGGAAUUCAGAGUUACCCAUGAAUUGAUCCUUCAAUAGCUGCACUUGUUAUCUUCGAGGGGUAGUGGGUCAAUCGGUGAAUCUUCUGAAGCGACACAAUUAGAUCCAAUUCGGCAAAGGGGUAUAAACCCUAAUCUGGGUACCAAUCCACUUCGCCAAGAAGUUUUUCCCAAAGCAUCGAACUAGCGCCCUCCAUUUCUUAAGAUGAACUUCCCAAGAUUUGGUGAUAGAGACAACCCUUUGGGCUGGAUUUACAAAGUUGAUCACUACUUGGAUUUCUUAGAUAUCGAAGAUUUCAAGAAAGUUAAAAUGGUUUCCUUUCAUCUUGAAGGAGAGCCUCUGCAAUGGUUUCAGUGGGCUAAUUGUAUUGCAAAAUACCCCAAAUAGGAAGAUUCACUAGGGCUUUAUGUUAAGAAUUCGAACCAUCAGAGUUCAAAGAUUUAGCUAAGAGCUUGGUACGACAAAUAGGUUUUUGCGAGAUUACAUCUUGGAAUUCAGGAGAUUAGCUAACAGAACUUGAGAUAUCAAUCCCUCUCUCAUAAAAUCUUGCUUUAUUGGUGGUCUAAAAGCUGAGUUAAGGCAUGAUGUCAAGAUCUUGAAGCCCAAAGAUGUGUUGGAAGCCACUGCAUAUGCACAAAAACUCAAUGCCAAGUUAACAUAUUUAAGGUUCAAAACUUUCUCUCAUCCUUAUGCUAAUCCUUCUAUAAGCGCACCUCUACACAAUGUUAGUAGCACACAUCUUGGAGAAAUUAAGCUUAAGAAUGAUAAUGUGCGUAGAUUAACACCUGAAGAGGUUGAGUUCUAUAGAAAAAAUGGUCUUUGUUUUCACUGCAAAGAAAAGUACACUAGGGGUCAUUCUUGUGAGAAGAAACAAUUGCUUCUUAUUGAUGUUCAAGGUCCUGGAGAAAUUGUAGCUAUUGUGGAAGAAAAAUUAGAACCUAAUAUUACUACAUGUGCUUUGUUUGAUACUCCUGCUCCUAAACCAAUAAAACUUAAAGGUUGGGGGAAUGAUAAAAAAACUGGUAGUAGUCCUGCUUAUUAAUUCAAGGAGUUCUCACAAUUUCAUUGUUUUAUCCUUGGUCAAAAGAAUUAGAGAGGCCUUAAUGAGAUUACAAUUAAGGAUAAAUUCCAUAUUCCAUUAAUUGAUGAAUUGUUAGAUAAACUAUUUGGUGUUGAGUAUUUUUCCAACUCAGACUUAAGAUUAGACCAUCAUCAAAUUAUGAUGCAUCCUAAUGGCAUUGUGAAAACUACAUUUCGAACUCAUGAUGGUCACUAUAAGUUUUGGUUAUGUCUUUUGGCUUGACUAAUGCUUCAACCACAUUUCAAUGUCUAAUGAAUGAGAUAUUCAAUCCUUACCUCAAAAAAUUUGUCUUAGUCUUUUUUUAUGAUAUAUUGGUGUGUUGUAGAACUUGGGAAUUGCAUUUGGUACAUCUCAAGAUAGUAUUUGAGCUACUGCAAUCUCAUACCUUGUAUGUUAAGCAAUCCAAGUGUGCCUUUGGUCAAGCUCAAGUGGAAUAUCUAGGACAUAUAGGCGGCGUUUAUUACACCUCCUUAGCAAGAACUAGCUUAGACUGGCUUAAGUGGGAUUCUAAUUCUAUGUUUGGAAUGGUAUUGGACUACAAUUAAUGAGACUCGCCUCGACUAGGAGGCGCUGUCUCCUUCGCUAAACCACGCUAUCUAGUCCCAUGCUUUACCUUGGUAUUAAGAGGGACUAAAAAGGAGACGAGGCCGAGAUCCAGAGCCAAGCUUUCUUGCUAAACCCCAACACCAAUCCCUAGGCUUUGCUUUCUUCUUCUCUGGCGUCACCGUGGCAGGCAAUUGGCGGUGCUUGUUCUUCCUUUUUCCCACAAAAUUCCGAGACGGCUAGCUUUAGGGACGGACAGAAAAUUCCCAGAAAAUCCAUGAGCUUUGCCUUCUUCUUCUACCCAUCUCCAAAGAACUCUUUUCUUUGUUUCAGAUGAAGCUCAAAGCUUCAUUCUGUUUGAUCGACACUUUGACCAAAUGCCCGGAAAAAAAAAUUCAAGAAAUAUCCAAUCAAUGGAGUCAGUCAAAUUAUUAAUAGAGAUGAUGGUUGUAUAGAUUACAGAGGUCAAAGAAAGAGAUGGGAAGGAUUUACGAUCUGCAAGAAUAAGAGGUGGAAAAUGAAGAGAAUGGGGACGGAACCAAACGAGGGAGACAAGGAGGAAGGCAUUUUUUUAAUUAAUUAUUUUCAAGUCAGAAGUAGAAUAGGAGAGAUGUUUCCAGAAAAUGUUAGUUUUUUGGGGGAAAAAAAUGAAAAACGUUGAAUGAAUAGUAAAAUAUUAUUGGACAAACAUUAAAUAAUAUAAUAUUGUAUUUGUUAAUUAUCUUUUUUUUAGUCUGACACUGCUCUAAAUGCUUAACUAGGUCAGUCCAGCUUAGUCUAGUCUAAGCAAGUCCAACUUAGUCCCUGAAGAUAGUCCAGUUCGAGAUAGUCCGAUGUAACAAAUGCACCCAUAGUAUCUAACAAGUGAGUGGCAACUAAUCCAUCUACCAAUUGGCCUGUUCCAACCACUACAAGAAAAUAUGGAAUAAGUGACGGAAUUUUAUGUGACGCCCAAAAAUUCGUCACAUAUAGGAAAAUUAUGUGACGAAAUGUCAAAAUGUGUCAUGCAUAACUGGUUUGCUAGGUAAGGAAUUUGAAAACACAUAUGUGACGAUAAAUACGUCACAUAUUCCAAAAUUGAGUGACGAAUAUGACAAGCGUCACUUAUAACUAUUUUAUAUCUUUUAGGAUGAAAAAAGAAGUGACACAAAAUUUUCGAAGUCCUUACUAAAAUAUAUGGUGUGGAAGAAUGGCGCCCUGCGAAAUACAAUAAAUGAGGAAUUUCAAAGUGGGUCACAUAUUUGUAUCCUUUGUGAGGAAAGUGGUUGUCACAUUUUGAAUGGGGAAUAAAAGUUUCAACAAGAAAAAAAGAGUGAAUCAAAUAUUAAUAUUUUAUAGAAUACUCUAUAUCUUAGACUUCUCCCUCUGUCUCUCAUUUACUUUCCUUCUCUCUGUCUCUCAGACUUCUAUCCUUUCUCCGUCACCGUGACCCAACAUCAUGGCAGUACCAGGAUUUUCUGAGCCAAUCACAGCUGCCUCAACUCUCAAUCUUCUUUUCUCUCUACUAUGACAAUACAGGAUUUUCCGAACCAAUCACUGAAACCCAUUCUCAUCCUUUCCCUCUCUAUCACGCUCCACAGCCAAAAACCUUAAAGACUCUGUUCGUCUAGAGGAAUAUCCAGUGAGGAGGUUCCCUGGCCAACGAGCACACAGCUCCCCGAGAGGUUGGCACCGAUUGAUAUUGUCUGUCGAGUUUCUGCUUAUUGGCAGGCUGUAAGAGAAGGACCCAGUUAGUUAUGAAAUGUGCCUUUGUGGGGCCUUAGAUGUAGGCCUUGAGGCUUCCCGUCAAAACUAACCGAAUACUUGAAUACAUCUUGGUUGUUUCAUUAUUGCAUACGUAUCACUCCCAUUAUACGUUAAUUACCCGAGCCCGCAGAUCAGAAUGAAGUCAAAUAGGUGUCUUUGUCGGGCCUUAGGUAUAGGCCUUAAGGCUUCCUAUCAAAGUUAAUUCUAUACUCAAGCGUUAUGUGGGAAUUAAGAUAUAACAGAAGAAAAACUAGAGAAUAAGCUAAUUACUUGGGCCCCAAGUAACUUCGGACUUCUGGUGAUCAAAGAUUGUCGUGGAUGGGUUAAGUCCACAUAAAGUUCUUUUUAGGCCUUGAGACCAAGGACAUUUAAUUGGUCAAUCUUGUCUGCCCGAAUGGUUAGAACUUCGAAGUCUUUUAAUCAUAAAAUGGCUAGCAAUAACUUGGAUGCAGAUGGAAACAUACAUCAUAGUACUAGAUCUAUGAAUGAAAGGCAACAACAAAGGAGGUCGGGCAAGGCUGAUCGUCUUGCAACUUCCUCUCUUUGUGAUUUAUAGAGUGUUCGAAUGCUAGAAGGGGAGAUUGGAUGAUGAAUCUAUAUGAGGUGAUCGAUACUACAACAAGAUUUAAACAAGGUAGCAGAGCUUUUACAAAGGAUUUCUGGUGAAGGUUGAUCCCGAAAGGGAUGAAGACUGGGGGCUGACUACAGCUUCGUGAAGGCAAAUCUGGUUUGAGCAAAGUUUGUGGUUGUAUUUGUUUGUUUGAUUGAGUGUACUUGUCUCUGAUUUUUCUUCCUCCUUUUAUAAACAAUUUAGCUUGGCUGUCUGCAGUGUUGAUUUUGCCCGAAUGCAUCUGAAGGGCAAUGACGCAUCAACUUUUUACUUGUACUGCCAUUGUAAAGUACUUUUGGGUUGAUUAGCUGGCUAGUCUACACCACUUGACCCCUAGGUAGGUGAGCAGGUAGUUUAAAUGAGCUGCACCUGGUCGGGAAACAAGCCCCUUCUUGCUUCUGGACUUCGGCUGGGCCUUGGACUUUUCCUUCUUCUGAACCUCUUUUUGGGCUUUCUUUUGGGCUAACCUCUUCUUAACCCAAAGUUCAAGUUUUAUCCUAAACAAUGCCCCCUUCAAUUAAUAUUCAGGCUGGAAUUUCAGGCACCAAUAUUAAUUAAAUAGCCGCAUGUCUGUAUACCUGCUCUCGGAACUUGUAUCCCUUCGUCCAGAUACUCUAUUUCUUUCAGACUUCAAACUCCCGUUGGCUCUUUGUUCCAUAGCUUCUACCCUUUUCAUCUUCUCAUCACGUUUCUUUCGAACUUAUUAAAUGGCUUCAGGAUCCGACCAAGCCCAGCUAUCAUAAGAAUCUGGUGAAGGCAUCGCUACGUUACGCCGUUUACUCAACGGAUUGCAUCGCCCUCGGGCAGGUUUGUGUUCUGAACGUUUCUUUGAAGCUCAUGUGGUACAAUUGUUGGGUCCUGCAUGGAUUUCUCACAUCCCUGCUAUGAUAGAAAAUAAUAUGCCCAGGAGUAACUGGUUUACCCCUAACCCUUUCUUGGCUAAGUCGGGCAUCUCUUCAGCUAAGCAGUCGUCAUACCAUCGUGGCUUUCCCCUAAUGAACGACCCAUCUUGGACUCGGUGGAUUGAUGAACUAGAGCCAAUUUUCAAGAAAAAGUGGAUGAACAAUGGUAUUUACGAACUGCUAAUGCUUUCAAAAACUACCAUUGUUCCCAAGCCCGAACUGCUUGCUACUUUUUUUUUUUUCUGGAAUUCAGGCACGAAGACUUUUGAUUUUUGCAUAGGUCCCAUGUCUCCGACUAUUCUAGAUAUGGCCCAAGUUUUCGGGCUAAGACCAUCGGGCAUGAUUGUAGAUGUCACCCAAGACUGGGUUCCCUCUUCAUCUUCAAUCACUGAAAGCUCUAGUUCCUCCGCCUAUUUUCUUCAAUUGGAAUAUAACUGUGCAAUUUUUAAGAGUUAUGGGACUUCCUUCAAGGGAUUUAUCCCUUUUGUCAAGGAGAAUUUUGGUGCUGAUUCAUCUUCUGCUAACAAAGACAAGGAACAUAUGUAUUUCCUCCUAUAUUGGCUCAACAAGCAUGUCUUCCCAAAUAAAUCUAAAGGGGUGAAGGUUGAAUGGAUCCCCUUAGUAGAAGCCCUUCAUAACUUUGAUGAUGUAGCCACAGGUCCAUUUCUUCUUUCUCAUCUUUAUCAUCUCCUUUUUGAAAUGACUUAAGGUGAACCAUUUGAAACUAAUCUGAACAGACCCAUAUGGAUGAUCCAAAUAUGGCUCCAAUGGUAUUUCCCAGAAUUUCAGGCUAGUAAUUUAGAAUUCUCAGAAGGUGUAGCUCCUGCCCGAAUCCUAGCUGAAGCUACCCCCACAGAUCACUCUACUUUUGCCUGUUUUUAUUUCUUCAAGAUUUGUAGAACCCGAUCAUACCUGGAGUGGGGCGCUUUAGUUUUGAGGAGAUAUUCCUGGUUCUCUGAUCAAGCAUUCCAAGAUGCUCCCGGAGAAGAUGCCACCUCAUUUUGCAGGGAGAAAUUCAUUAGUUGUAUUCAACAAAGAGACAUAACCUAAGGAGUUCGUGGUAACCGUUAUGAUCGAGGAUUGGAAGUGUAUCUCCUUAAUUUUUGUAGCAGGCAAUUAGGCUUUAGGCAAGCCAUUCCUAUCCUCUUUUUUUACUCUGUCCAUUGUGGUACUUCUUUCCGGUUACCAUCCCCUUCAGAUGUGACCUUUCGAAUUGCCCGACGAAGUCUUGAAGUUAUGAAUUAGGCUGCCCGAAAGUCUAUAGUUUUGAACUUCGAAUGUACUUCAUUCUUCUCCACCUGGUAGGAAGCCAAAUGUACCAAGAAAUAUGGAGGAGAUUUGCGAGAAACUCACGACCGUCUCUUUUGUCAACUUUCUCUUAAGUCAUACCCAAGUUUGGGUGAGCUUGAAAACUGGAAGGAAAUGAUCCAGCAGAAGAACUGGUUACUUUUUAUAGGUAUUUCUCUCCCUGUCCUGAUCAUGCCUUCCUUUGAGGUUAAAGUUAUUUAGUCUUAUUUUCCUUGAUCCUGUAGCUCAAGUAGAUGUUGAAACGAAAUCCAUCGAAUUAGAAGAGGAUUCAGCUGAUGCAGCAGUUCUUCAUGGAGCUGCAGUAGAAGCUCAAAGGCGAAAAGCUGGAGUAGGCGGAGAUGUUUCAGAAUCAUUUGGAGAUUCAAAUGUUGAAGAAGUACCUGAAGCAAACAUCAAAGCGUCAAAGCGGAGAAAAGUAGUUGUGGUCGAGACCUCAGAAUCCGAACCUGUAUCACCACACAAACCUAAAUGGCCAACUCCCACCAGAAGGAGUAAGAGAGCGAGGACUGUUCAAGCUUCUAAGUCUUCAGCUUCCUCAGCUCUAGUUUCUAAGGCAGGCAUAACAAAGUAGAAGUCUUCAAGUAAGUUUUUUAGUUUUUUUUUUUUUUUCAAUUAGAUUGCCCCCUUGCUUAUCUGAUUAUCUCCAUACUUCUCUCUUUGAAAUCAGGGCCUCAUAUUUAUGAAAAACCAACUAUCACACCUAGGGCGGAUCCACUGGGAACUGAAAUGCACCAAAUAGCUGAAGAUCUACAAAAGGCCAUCCUCAAGGAGAAUGAGGUAUUUGCUUGAUCAAGCUAUAAGUGAAUAAAAGAUUCUUCUGCUUGAGAUCUCUGAAACAAAUGAUCGAACUUCUUUCUUCCUUUUUUUUAUCCAGGUUGGUGUAUCUGCCACAUUGCCUAGCCAAGGUUCCCCUCCAAAGUCUUCUAUUUCUCCUUCUGCUCUGGAUGUAACUCCAUCUUCUCAAUUUGAUCCAGCAACAUGAGUUAUGUUGCAUUUUUAUAAAUGAAGACAGCAAUUUGGUGAGCAGUUAUUUGAACAUUGAAUUUCCAUACACUAUGCCCGUACUAAAUUUCCAUUUACAAUUCCUCCAGCCAUCUUCAAUACAUGAAGCACGACAACCACCAAUGGUAACAUUUGAAGAACCCGUAGCCCCUGAAAUCCCUGUGACCCCAAGGGUAGCUAUUUUGCAAGUGUCACCUUGCCUGAUAGGUACCACCGAUGAACCUCAUUCUUCUCCCCUUACUCAGGUAUGGAUAUAUUUUCUUUCUGUUCUCUUCUCAUACCUGUUUAUUAAUAAUUGCCAUAAUUCCUGGAUGCUCUUACGUCAUGGGUGAAGGUUCGGGCCCAACUUUUUCUUCCCCUGUUGGUGAUAGUGAUUCUCCCCCUCAAACAGGAGCUGAUACUCUUUCUUUUAAAACCCUAGGGCCCAUUCAGGCAUAUUGCUUCUUCCCAGAUUUCCUUUCUGCUUUAAAUUGUUUAACUAUUUUUCUUGCCUUAAUCUAGUCUUCUUUGGUUCUCGCAGCAGGCCAUAGGAGAAGCUUCGGGCAAGUCUCCCUCACAUGUGGUGUAUAAAACGGAGUUCCCCCGGCCUUCUUCAACUUUUGGAGAUACAGGGAUUUCCCUUCCUGGAAUUGAGAGGACUGAGACUGAAGUCGCCUCAUCAGCGGUUACUACUCCCUUAGAAGAUACUGGAGUACGAACCCCUCCCCCUUUAUUUUCAACAACUACUGAUUUGCUCGAACUUUUUGAAGAAUUCGGGCAACUUGAAACAAGGCUGAAAUCUUCAAAGCGUUCUUCUGAACCUUCUGGCUUUCAAGAACAACGUCGAGCUUUCCAAGAUUGGGUGAAGAAAGACUUCUCAGCUUCAUUCAACCUUAAGGCUCUUCAUGUUAUAGAAAAAAAAAAGAUAGAGCUUUCCAAGGCUGGCCGGUUAUCCAACACUUAACAUGAUUCCUUUUUCUCUUUCUUUGAGAACUUGAGGGCUCUCAGGAUCAACAUCAGAGAGCUGAAAGACAAGCCAGUAGUGUAAAAUGCUUCAAGGAGAAGGAAUCAAGUACUUCUGCACAGGUCGAGCGGUUAAUGGAUGAGGGCUUGCUGACAAAAGAAAGGAUUGGCGUGGUAACUUCUGAAAUCCAGAAGUUGGAAGAACAACUCAGCGUUCUCAAGGCUGAGCAAGCAACCCUUCUUGGCACCCUUAAACAUCAGAUUGAAGAAGUGAAGAAAUCAAAUGUAGAGCUCGAACAUACUAAAUCUCAACUUACUAAUAACAACACUGUUCUAGCCAAACCUGGUAGAAUUUUUACAAUCAUGCAGACUUAUCAUUCCUGAAUAAUUACUCUGAGUAAAGAUGUAACCUUGUUAGACUAGAAUGAACAUGUGUUUUGCAUCUGCUUGUCUUGCUCAAGGACAUGUCCCAUGUUAUAUAUUCGGGCAACUCCCUGCCCCCCCCUUAUUUUCUUUUUUGUUUCUUUUCUACUUCCCUUACCAAUACCAAUUUCAAGACCUAAUCUUGAUCAACUAGUCCUCUUUCUGAUAUUAUUGACAUGGAAGUGUUAGGGGAACAUAGGAUCUAUGUCCCUCUUCUUUCUUAACAAAUGAUGAUCUUAGCUUUUCUACCCAACCCAGGUUGAUCAUAUUGAUAGGGGCUUCCGGGAAUGGGUUUGUAUCAACCAGCAUACCAGUUUGGGGCUUGUUAAGCAACAGCUUGCCCUUCACUAUAAGGUCUUGUAUCCAAUCUCUGAACUGGACACAAUUGGUUAUAUAAUGGUCGAUGGUAUAAUGCAACUUGCAAUACUUCUUCCCUCUUAGUUCUUCUAGCUUAGGCAUCUUCUUAGUACUGUCGUGCAAAAUUAUUCUUGCCCGCACCAACUCUUCGUAGAUCUCCGAAGCUUUUGCCAAGUCAAAGGAAUAACUCUAGUAUUUGGGCAGUUUCAUAGGGACAAACCCUCUAUCAUUCAUCAUGAUUUUCUGAUCUUUGAUAGGUUGGACCAAACCUUUCACCAUUAAUGGUUUGAAAUGUGUAGUCAUUUCAGCAGCACAAACAUCAAUCUCCUCUCUAUCAUGACUAUCUUCAUGUUCUGGCCCUGCUUUUUCGUCUUCCACACGAUGAAUUGCAGCUUUGUUUUUGUAAAAGGGAGGAGUCUUGGAAUUGUGCUUCACCUGUCAUUCUUCUAACAGCAACCUUUCAUACUGUGUGGCAGCGAUUACCAACUCCUGUAACUCAUUAAAUUGUGUAUCAUAGAACCUUUUUCUCAAAGGUAAUCUUAAAGCCUUCUGAGCAAUUGAUAUAAGCUGAGCUGGGUUGACAGGGAAUUGGCAUCUCAUUCUUGUUUUUCUAAACCUCAUCAUGAAAUCUUCUGUGAUCUCAUGGUCGUCUUGCUUGACUUCAACUAGGUCAUUGAUAGUCAUUUUUGGUUCUAUUCUGUAAAACUAUUCAUGGAAGGCUAUCUCUAUCUGCCCCCAAUUGGCAAUAGAGUUAGGGGGUAAUAGAGAGUACCAUUGUGAUGCUAGCCCCGCCAAUGAAUUUCCAAACAACCUCAAUUUGUAGUUCGGGUUGUCUUCAUAUGCCACACAAUAAUUGGAGAAUUUGAAAAUAUGAUCUCUAGAGGACACACUUCCAUUUUCUCCAGUGAAUAUUGGGAAUGUAGGCAUUUUGAAGUUAAUAGGAAAUGGGUUCUGCUCAUCAAUAUAUUCAGGAUAAGGUUUUUGAUAGGUAACCCUGAUUAUAGGAUGAGCUUGUGGUUGAGCAUUAUGAGCCACUGUCCUCCUCAACUCAGCCAACUCCUCCCUCAGUUGUUGAGUAGCUGUAUUAUUAUUAUGGAAGAUAAGAGCAGGUUCAUUCUUUGGGCUUUGGUCAUUUCCCGUUCCUGCUCCCUUUUUUGACUCGGGCUUUCUCCAGUUAGCUCAUCCUCCCUUAUUAGCCAAAAGAGGUAGCCUAUAAGGAAGAGGCUUAUCUGAGGUGACAAAGCCUUCUUUUCCGCUGAGUUCUCCGGUUAUUAUGGGCAUCCCAUACCUCGUCAUUUCUUGUUCAUUCUGCUUCCUAUUAUUAAAUGAUAAUAAUGAAAAGCUGGGGAAUUCUUUUUGUAGAACCGGUUCAAUCAUGGGUUGGCUUCCUUCAGGUACUUCUUUUUCCUUUCCCUUAUCUUGUUUUUCUUCCAAUAACGGAAAUAGGGGAAUAACUGGUUCACUUCUGAUGGUAACCUGGCUCAUCCCACUUCCUUGAACACCUUUUGGAGUAGAAAACUCCAGAUCUAGUCUUCUCUGUAGAUUCCCUGUUAAGGUACACAGUCUACUUACUUCCCCCUUAGUUUCCAAAGAGAUUUUUUCCAUGCUCUUCAACACUUGUAUCAUAGUAGCCUGCAAUUCUUCAUUAGUUCCUUUUCCUUCAGCUCUUCCAGAUGAAGUUGGGUUUUCCAGAACCACAUGUCCUGAUGGAGAAGAACAAUUUCCUGAUUGCUCUGUCAUUUGUAGCAAAGGUUGAGAUGAAUUGUCCUUUGUACUCUUUCUGCAAGGUUUAUGGCUUUUCUUCUUUGACAUGCGAGAUUAACGCAACUGCGUCCCACCGGGUGUGCCAAAACUAUGUUCGUCUAGAGGAAUAUCCAGUGAGGAGGUUCCCUGGCCAACAAGCACACAGCUCAUCGAGAGGUUAGCGCUAGUUGAUAUCGUCUGUCGGGCUUCUGCUUAUUGGUGGGCUGUAAGAGAAUGACAAAGUUAAUUCUGAAAGGUGCCUUUGUGGGGCCUUAAGUGUAGGCCUUGAGGCUCACAAUCAAAAUUAACUUUAAGAAUCCAGGCGUGCCACUGUCAUCUUUAGCAUGACAGAUGUAAAACCGAUGUUAAGUUUUAUGGUGUAUAUAUAUAUAUAUAUAUAUAUGCCUGAGCGACCCAGUUAGUUAUGAAAGGUGUCUUUGUGGGGCCUUAAGUGUAGGCUUUGAGGCUUCCCAUCAAAACUAACCGAAUACUUGAAUACAUCUUGGUUGUUUCAUUAUUGCAUACGUAUCAUUCCUGUUAUACAUUAAUUACCCGAGCUCGCAGAGCAGAAUGAAGUCAAAUAGGUGCAUUUGUCGGGUCUUAGGUAUAAGCCUUGAGGCUUCCUAUCAGAGUUAAUUCUAUACUUAAGCGUUCUGUGGGAAUUAAGAUAUAACAAAAGUAAAACUAGAGAAUAAGCCAAUUACUUGGGCCCCAAGUAACUUCGAACUUCUGGUGACCAAAGAUUGUCGUGGAUGGGUUAAGUCCACAUAAAGUUCUUUUUAUACCUUGAGACCAAGGACUUUUAAUUGGUCAAUCUUGUCUGCCCGAAUGGUUAGAACUUCGAAGUCUUUCAAUCAUAAAAUGGCUAGCAAUAACUUGGAUGCAGAUGGAAACAUACAUCAUAGUACUAGAUCUAUGAAUGAAAGACAACAACAAAGGAGGUCGGGCAAGGUUUCACCUUGUCAGGUAAGGCUGAUCGUCUUGCAACUUCCUCUCUUUGUGAUUUACAGAGUAUUCGAAUGCUAGAAGGGAAGAUUGGACGAUGAAUCUAUAUGAGGUGAUCGAUACUACAACAAGAUUUAAACAAGGUAGCAAAGCUUUUACAAAGGAUUUCUGGUGAAGGUUGAUUCUGAAAAGGAUGAAGACUGGGGGCUGACUACAGCUUCAUGAAGGUAAAUCUGGUUUAAGCAAAAUUUGUGCUUGCAUUUGUUUGUUUGAUUGAGUGUCCUUGUCUUUGAUUUUUCUUCCUCCUUUUAUAGACGAUUUAGCUUGGCUGUCUGCAGUGUUGAUUUUGCCCGAAUGCAUCUGAAGGGCAAUGACUCAUCAACUUUUUACUUGUACUGCCAUUGUAAAGUAUUUUUGGGUUGAUUAGCUGGCUGGUCUACACCACUUGACCCCUAGGUAGGUGAGCAGGUAGUUUAAAUGAGCUGUACCUGGUCGAAAAACAAGCCCCUUCUUCCGUCUGGACUUCGGCUGGGCCUUGGACUUUUCCUUCUUUUGAACCUCAUUUUGGGCUAACCUCUUCUUAACCUAAAGUUCAAGUUUUAUCCCAAACAAUGCCCCCUUCAAUUAAUAUUCAGGCUGGAAUUCCAGGCGCCAAUAUUAAUUGAAUAGCCGCAUGCCUGUAUACCUGCUCUCGGAACUUGUAUCCCUUCGUCCAGAUACUCUAUUUCUUCCAGACUUCAAACUCCCGUUGGCUCUUUGUUCCAUAGCUUUUACCCUUGUCAUCUUCUCAUCACGUUUCUUUCGAACUUAUUAAAUGGCUUCAGGAUCCAGCCAAGCCCAGCUAUCAUACGAAUCUGGUGAAGGCAUUGCUACCUUACGCCGUUUACUCAACUGAUUGCAUCGCCCUCGGGCAGGUUUGUGUUCUGAACUUUUCUUUGAAGCUCAUGGGGUACAAUUGUUGGGUCCUGCAUGGAUUUCUCACAUCCCUGCUGUGAUAGAAAAUAAUAUGCCCAGGAGUAACUGGUUUACCCCUAACCCUUUCUUGGCUAAGUCGAGCAUCUCUUCAGCUAAGUGGUCGUCAUACUAGGGGGCCCGAGCACUCCCAGGAUGGGUGACCCACUGGGAAUUUACUCGUGAGUUCCCAGAAACAAAACUGUGAGGGUGUGGUCAGGGCCCAAAGCGGACAAUAUCGUGCUACGGUGGUGAAGCGGGUCCGGAAGUGAUUCGCCUCGGGCCGGGAUGUGACAAUUGAGGUCAAUUUGAUGUUUGUAGUUGUGAGUGUAAAAGACAUUUGUUGUUUGUCUUCCAUGUAUGUGCGAUAAACUAGUCUCCAUAAUUUAAGAAUACUUAUCAAUGUUGACAUUGCCCAAUACAUCCAUUUGUAUAAAAAAUUUAAUUGCCUUGAUUUGUUGCUUGUUUCUGGUAGCUAUAAUUAUAAUUGAAUAUACAUUUACAUUGUCGAGGAAUAUUUAAUAUAUGUGAAAUGUCUGAGAGCGUUUCUUGUACUCUAUGACCAGAGAUUGGAAACUUUAAAGUUAAUUGCUACUAUUUGGCAAUUUAAGUGUUUUUAAUAUGUUUCAAGGUUAAGGAAAGUUGAUUUGUUGUUUUUAAUAUGUUUCAAGGUGAGAGAAAGAUGAUUGAGGGAUCAUGGCAACAAUAAGAAUAGGAUAUCCUGUUUUGGAGCCAAGCACUGGUAAUUUCUUGUCAUCUUUACUUGCUACUACUCUAUAAUUAGUCUGGUAGUGUUUUCAUGAAAUCCAUUUUUAUUUAUUGUGUUUUGGUUGAUCUUAUUUCAUUUUUAUGACAUAUGUAAUCUCUAUAAAGCUAACUCCAAAUCUUAGUACCGUUCAUUUUGGUACUCUCUUAUUCUCUAAAGCAUUGUUAGUUGAUUAGUAUAGAAUAAAAACAGAAUUAUGAAGAUUUUGCAGGUCAAUCAGUUCCUAAUUAACAUAAGGCUGAGUUAAGAGCAUUAUCUACUAAUGAUGGAAGUUGGCUAUAUCUAGCUAAAUUUUGGAAUGACUAUCUAAUCCAUUAUGGUUUAUAGCCCCUUUCUCUUGUAGUGCUAGUCAUCAUGUGGGAAUUGAGGAUUUUGGUCUUAUUGCUUUUUAGGAAUGGCUUGUUUCGGAUUGGGUUUUAUUUAAAUUUUGACAUAUCUUUGUUAUUUACCUUACUUUCGUUGGCAGAAAAUUGAACUAUACCGAACUAGAAUUUGUGCACUUUUGAAUAUAGAUUAAUUGAGUGAGUUUGUUAUUUGUUAGACAUGGGAUAGUGCUCAAUUUUUAAUUAUUUUUUUUCUCUUGUAUCUCCAUAGGUUUCUGAGAAAUUUUUUGUUGGAUAAGUUAUUAUCGCCCUCCAACCAACAAUAGCAGCAACGCGAGAGUCUUUCAUGACCCAAUUCGGUUUCAUGUAGUCUUAUUGUAUGACAGUGGGAGACUUAGGUUGUUUUAGGGCUUUUCAUCAGUUUAAUGUUUCUAAACCACAUAUGUUCUCUUGUACAUGGUCAAUUUAUUAAACAUGUUAGUAAUGUUAUUGCAUUUAUUGAUUUAUAAAUUGUCAUUACGUUGUAAUUCAUAUUAUUCAUCUUCCUGGUUCAUUAAAUAAAGUAUUAAUUAUAGAUUAAAAAAUUAAAUGAGAAAAAGCAAAAUCGAAGGAAAAAUUGAAAUUCAAACAUAUGUGACGAAAGCAUUAGUCAUUACAUAUUCUAAUAAUAAAUGACGCUCAAAGCGUCACAUAUUUGUUCAACUAUGGAGUUCGAGCUGCGAAUAUGUGAGGGAAAGAAGUGUCACAUAUAGAUAUAAUAGGUGACAAAUGUUAAAAUUCAUCACAUUGACUAUAGGUGACUGUGUAUAUAUGAUGCAUUUUGUGACGCAGGAAAUUCAUCACAUAUAGGUAUAUGUGACGAAUUCUAGUGUAUAUGUGACAAACCCAUUCAUCGCAGAAUCCAUGUUUUCUUGUAGUGAACAUUAGUGAAAGCUUUAAGAGGAUUUCUGGGGCUUACAGGGUAUUAUAGGAAAUUUAUUCCCGAUGUUGGAAAAAUCAUUGGCCAUUUGAUAGUUCUUAGUAGCCACAACAACAUUCAAUAUACUCAAGCAAGCUAUGACCUCUCCUCAGGUAUUGGCAUUACUUGACUUUACUCAGCCCUUUAUGAAAGUGAUGCUUCAGGUUUUGGUAUUGGAGUUGUAUUACAGCAAAAUGGAAGGCUUAUUGCCUUUACCAACAAGACUUUGUGUGUUAGAAAUCAAUCUCUAUCUGCUUAUGAAAGAGAAUGAGGGCUAUCAUUCAUUCAAUUAAGAAAUGGCAAUCAUAUUUAGUGGAAAGGCAUUUUAUUAUCAAAACAAAUCAUCAUAGUUUGAAGUUUUUCUUGCAAAAUAUAGCCAAUACUCAUUUUCAAUAGAAAUGGGUCUCUAAAUUGCUUGGUUUCAACUAUGAGAUAUAGUAUAAACAAGGGUGUGAUAAUUAAGUGGCUGAUGCCUUUUCUAGAAUCGCUAGGGAUGCACAAAUGGUUCCACCAGAUUCUCAACUUUCUCACAUGGAAUUCCUAGCUAUUUCUUAUCCAUAUCUCAGUUGGAUGGAUGAUUUAGGAAGACAUAGUGAACAAGAUUCUUGGAUUUUGGCAAAAAUACAGGAAGUACAGAAUAUCACAGAUUUAUCUGCACUCAAAUCUUUUGAAAUACUAGGUUGACAAUGGGUUCCUAAAGUACAAGUACAUAAUUGUACUAAGUCCCACUAGCUCUUGGAGACAAACUGUAUUUGAAGAAUAUCAGAAUAGUCCUUUUGCUGGUCAUGCUAGGUUCUUAAAAACAUAUAAAAGGCUUUCCAGAUCCUUUUACUAGAUUGGUAUGAAGAAAGAGAUCAGAGACAUGGUAGCUAAUUGCCAAACUUGUGAGCAACAGAAGUAUGAAACUUUGGCUCCAGCUGGAUUAAUUCACCCUCUGCCAAUUCCUUCUAGAAUGUGGUCUAAUAUUUCAAUGGACUUCAUAAUAGGACUGCCACCUUGUAGAGGUAAAACUGUUAUUUGGAUUGUAAUUUAUAGGCUUUCUAAAUAUAGGCAUUUUGUAUUAUUGUCACACCGAUUCACUUCUGCAUCAGUUACCAAUCUCUUUGUUGAACAUAUUUUUAAGCUUCAUGGGAUGCAUCUUUAUAUUCAGUGAUACAGAUCCUGUGUUUAUAAGUGCUUUCUGGAAAGAAUUUUUUGCACUUAAUUUAAGGAUCAUCCUUGUGUUUCAGUUGAGGUUACCAUCAUCAAACUGAUGGUCAAACAAAAGUAGUUAAUAAGUGUGUGCAGAAAUACUUAAGGUGUUUUUAUAGUUUCCAACCUAAGAAAUAGUCUAUGUGGCUACCCUAGGCAGAAUGGACCUAUAACACAACUUAUCAUUCUACUACAAAACUAUCUCCAUAUAAAGUGGUUUAUGGUCAACCUCAUCCAUCUCUUUCUAUCUAUAAAGCUGGUACUACUAAGUUGGAAAUGGUUAAUAGAAGUUUGUUAGAGAGACAAAAUGUUGUCACUACUUAAAACUAAUUUGGAAGCUGCUCAUGUGAGAUUGGUACCUUAUCAACAAAUUUCAUUGGCUUCUCACCCUUCCAUAUGCUGCAACCAAGAUUUUAUAGUCCCUUGUGAAAUAUUGGCUAAGAUUGGUCCAAUUGCUUACAAAUUAAAGCUUCUAGCAACAUCCAAGUUACAUCCUAUUUUUCAUGUUCUUGUCUAAAAAAACAUUUGGGUGCUGCAAUUCAACCUAUACUGUUCAUUCACAAGUGAUUACUAAUGCUUGUAUUUUACAAGAUGUGCUAUUGGCAAUUUUUGACAAAAGGAUGAUUAAAAGGGGCAAUACUGUAGUCAUUGAAGUGUUAGUUCACUACCAGAAUCAUACUCCAGAAGAAGCUACUUGUGAACCUUCUCAGAUUUGAAGACUCAAUUCCCUGAAAUGGUUCAUUUGUAAUGUUCUUCAGUUGUUCAACUUGAGUUUUACACUAUUUUUAAGUCUUGUUUUACAACUUGUUUUAAGGGGGGAGGGGUAUUGAUAAGAUGUUGACUAGGAUGAUGAUUCAGCACAAGUAGUUAGUUGUUGUAACUAAUAAUUGGAUAUGAGAAGUUGGUUAGUUGGUUUUAAUUAGAUAUAAGAUUGUUACUAGGAUUUUUAGUGGCUAAGAUAGCUAGCUGCUAUAUAAGGAAAGUUGUAAGAAAAAACGGUUGUUGUUGUAAAAGUUGAAUAUUAUAAUAUAUACAUAUUGUUACUGUUACAUUGAGUAAGAAGUGAAGUUGGGGUUCUAUCAUGGUUUGGUACACACGAUUGGAUUGGAGGUUGAGGAUGCAAGUGAAUGGUUUUUCAUUUGGAGGAGAUCAGAAGAUGAUUAGCCAUGAAGGAAUUUCAUCCCUUAUAAUCCUACCAUUUUAAGGAGAAUUGGAAUGGAUAAUCUUUCUUCAUGAGUAAUCCAUCUUCUAUUCUUUUAAAAAAGUGAUCAUAAUUUUAUAAUUUCUCCCUUCACCAUACUUUUAAUUCACUAAAUUAUCAGUUCCAACUUAAUCAUGUGUAUCAAGUUAGCCCUUGAUGUGGUUAAGGCAUUACGCUCCAUGUUUUUAGGCAUUUGAGUGUUUAGUCGAAUUAUUUUGAGUUUUUAGCCCCUUUACUAAAGAUUAAUCUAUUUGGGUGGAUAACUUACUAAAUAAGUGUGACAAUCAUACAGUCAGUCCUAUUCAAGUAUGAUCACCUCUAUUAAAAAAAUGUAAGGUUAAACUCAGCUUAUUUUAUGAAGUUUAUUGGUUUUCAACAUUUGGUACAUGAAAUUUUUUUCAUUUCAGUCUAGUAUCCAAAUUCAUAAUUCUAGGAUACUUUCAUACAUCAGUUAAAUUUUUUGUCAAAACUUUCGUUAACUAAUGACGUGGAGUUCACGUAGAUAAUGAUUGCACACUACGUGUAGACCCACGUAGAUAUUAAAAAUAAAAAACCUAAACCUAAAACCCACAAAGAUCAUGCCCAAAAUCCAAUUCAAUCCAUUCCCGACCCUAACCCUAAAAAGAAUCAAUCUUUGAUACUCAUGGUUUGGUCAGUGUGAUUUCUCAUCUAGGGUGGUGUGGAUUCGAACCAAGUUUCAUGAAUCACCAUAAAAAAUAAAGAACCCAGCUUUGUUUGCUCACCGAAACCCCAAGCGAUUCAAUCCCACCGACGAUGGACAUGAAAGUGGCAGAGGAACUAGAAUUCUGAGGGAAAGGUGACGUCCGUUGAGGAACCGUGCACGGCGAGUUCAAAAUCAGCGAAACUCUCUAUAUGGCGUCGUAGGUAGAUUUGUUGUUGGCUUCUCUGAAUUCGAACAUAAUCGAAUCGGUGGUGGUUGAGAUCGGGAAGGUAACAGAGUUGUUGAGAUCGGGCCACCUCAGCUGCACCCGAGAUCGGGCCUGAGUGAACCCCGUAGUGAGGGAAGCAAGAAGCUGUGACAGAAAGGAACGGAACAAGGAGGAGGGUUUUCAAUUUUUGAAUUUGAUGGUGUUGAAUUUCGUGGGUUUUUUUUAUAGUUUUGUGAUGGAGAGAAGAGGGUGAAUGUGCAGGAGUUGAAGAGGGAGGGGAGGCACUGGGUGCGGAGGAGGGAGGAUGAAGAGGGUGGAUGUGUAGGAGUCGAAGAGGGAGGGGGAGCACUUGCCCACUGGGUGCGGAGGAAGAGAGAAGAGCCCAGAUUGAUGUUUACUUCUAUUUUUGUUACAUUUUAUUUAUUUUUAAAAAUUUUUGAUAUCUAUAUUGAUACGUGACCCCAAUCAUUGUUCACGUGGACAUCACGUUAGCAAUUAACGAAA